rnacentral:rRNA from 1 species
AGCCCAAGACGCCUUGCUCAGCCACACCCCCAAGGGAACUCAGCAGUAAUAAACAUUAAGCCAUAAGUGAAAACUUGACUUAGUUAGGAUUAAGAGGGUCGGUAAAAUUCGUGCCAGCCACCGCGGUUAUACGAAAGACCCUAGUUUAUAGGCACGGCGUAAAGGGUGGUUAUGGAACGGAUAAAAUAAAGCUAAAGACCCCCAGAGCCGUCAUACGCCCACGAGGGCACGAAACCCGAAUACGAAAGUAGCUUUACCAAACAAUGCCCGACCCCACGAAAGCUGGGAAACAAACUGGGAUUAGAUACCCCACUAUGCCCAGCCCUAAACCUAGAUGAAAACUUACAAAACCAUCCGCCAGGGGACUACAAGCACAGCUUAAAACCCAAAGGACUUGGCGGUGCCUCAGACCCACCUAGAGGAGCCUGUUCUAGAACCGAUAACCCCCGUUAAACCUCACCACCUCUUGUCUUCCCCGCCUAUAUACCGCCGUCGUCAGCUUACCCUGUGAAGGCCCAACAGUAAGCAAAAUGAGCUCAGCCCAAAACGUCAGGUCGAGGUGUAGCGCACGAGGUGGGAAGAAAUGGGCUACAUUUUCUACCACAGAAUACCACGAAUAGCACCCUGAAACAUGAUGCCUGAAGGAGGAUUUAGUAGUAAAAAGCAAAUAGAGUGUCCUUUUGAAUUAGGCUCUGAGGCGCGCACACACCGCCCGUCACUCUCCCC